rnacentral:rRNA from 1 species
UACGGAGGGGGCUAGCGUUGUUCGGAAUUACUGGGCGUAAAGCGCACGUAGGCGGCUUUGUAAGUUAGAGGUGAAAGCCCGGGGCUCAACCCCGGAACUGCCUUUAAGACUGCAUCGCUUGAAUCCGGGAGAGGUGAGUGGAAUUCCGAGUGUAGAGGUGAAAUUCGUAGAUAUUCGGAAGAACACCAGUGGCGAAGGCGGCUCACUGGACCGGCAUUGACGCUGAGGUGCGAAAGCGUGGGGAGCAAACAGG